rnacentral:misc_RNA from 1 species
AUUGGGUACGGUUCUGUGAAAACGGUAAUCAUGGUAGUCGAAUAUAAAAUUAGGAGUUGCAAGGACACUUCAAAGCAUUCGCUUAGCGAAAGAAAUGAACUAGUCGUCUGGCCCUUUGUUUAAUAUGAUAGGUAUUGGACCAGUGUCAUUUAGAAGUUCUUUAUUGUUCCAGAUUAAUGGUAUAUAUAGAUAGAAACCUACUUGACCCUAUUUUAAUUUAAGUUACUGGAAAUGAAAUGAAACAUUUGAAACUGAUUUGGCAAGUUGCCAACAAUGCAUCUGUGUAGUAUAAUUUGUUUGCAAACCAUCAAGUAGACUACAUAGUACAUGAUCAGUUUUUUUGUUGUUGUUUCUUUUGCGUAGUGAUUAGGCGUAACUAUUCAAUAGCAAUCACAAAUUUAAGAAAAUACUAAUUCUAACUUCAGGCUUAGAGCUUAUUUUUAUGCUACAUUUUCUAUGAUGGCAUGUAUAGAAAAAGACGUAGCUCUCAAAACUGGGUUUUUGUGUAUUGCCCCACAACGACAAGGAAUUUUAAAGAAAUCUUGGAGUAAGCGGUAUAUUGCUCUUUAUCAAACCAGCAUAAAUGGCAUCCGGAGACUUGAAAUUUUUGAUAGAGAAAAUAAUUUUUUGCGUCAAACACCUAGCAAAAUCAUUCCCCUCACUGACUGUAUUAAGGUCAUGCCAGCUUCUCAGAAACAGCAGGCUAAUGUAUUUGAGGUUCGAACGAUACAUCAUACCUACACAUUAUCAGCAGAAACUUUUCAAGAAAUGAUGGAUUGGGUGUCCAGCAUUCAAGAGGUAGCCUUUGGUUUGUCAUCCAACAGUUCAACCGAAGUAUCCUCUUUUUCAAAUACAUUUCAAGAAUCUACAGAAGAAGAAAACUUACUUUAUGCUUCCAUAAAUGCACCUGAAGUCUAUCAAGUGAAAGUUGUUGAAUCUGAAGCUGCAAAUCGUUGCGGUUUGCAAGGAAAUUAUCUGUUAAUAGUUAAAUCAGCUUCAGUAUACCUAGCAGAGCAAGGACAGUUGGGAUCUAUUGGGAAAACGAUUCAAACAUGGCCUUACAGGUACAUCCGACGUUAUGGAAAAACUCCUAAAGGAUUUUGUUUUGAAGCAGGACGGAGGUGUCAAUCAGGGGAAGGACAAUUUUACUUUGAAACCAUACAUGGAUUGGCUAUAUUUCAGAGUAUUACAGCUCACAUGAGUGCUCUAAAGUCCAGUCCAAGUGAGAGUGACUCUCAGCAUAGCCCUAGUCCUGGACCAGAAAGUGGAAACAAUAGUUUUAAUCUUUGGCAACCUCCACCAUCGAUAGAAGAUUCAAAGCUCACAUCAGAAGUUAACAACCAGAAGUGUAUCUUGGAUUGCCCAAAUUCACUUUUAAACAAGAAAGAUGAUUUUUUUAACUACUCUGCUUUGGAAUUACCAACACUGGCCAAAGAUCUUAAAACUUUAACCAUUGACAAGCCCCCUAAUCUCAAGCCACGGCCACCAGUCAGUAAGCCACCCAGAAAAAGUAAAUUGAACAACAAUAACAAAUUUUCUUUUGAAGAAAGUCUCAUGGUACCAAGCAGACACUCGAUUGUUCCAGAAGGUCAGUAUGAGCAACCUAUACAGCUAAAGAAGAUAUCAGAUACGCUAUCUCCCCAACAGUUAGCAAGAAAAGAUGAAUCAAAAGAAAAUCAAGCUAGUCAACCUUUGUGUGCUUCUUUUGAGGAAGAACCAUUAAGUCCAAAAUUAUUAGAUAAUAAGUCAACUCUAAAGUUCAAAAGCUUGCUUCCAUAUCGUGCAAUCACUGAUUUAGGUCCUCACAAAAGUGAGGAUGGAGAGAGUAGUAAACAUGAGUAUGAUCACCUCAACUUAACAGGUGGAAGUGCGGGUCAUCUUCCAACUCUUAGCCCAAACAACCAGCAUAUCUAUGGUAAGCUGUCCUUUCCAUCUGGUUACAAAAUGUCUUCUUUAUCCACAGAAUCUGAUUAUGCAAAUGUAAACAGCUCAAACCCUUUUUUAAUAUCCUCUGCUGAGAAUACGAAACACCCACCACCCUCUCAACCUGAUCCUAAACAAGUUGAUGAAGAACUUGAUUAUGCUAAUGUAGAUAUGUGUAGGUUUCAGUGCUGUUCCUCAUCCAAUUAGUCACACUAGUGGACCAGCUAACUAACCUCACAUUUCAAUGACUUGUUUCAAUUGAAAAACCAAAUAAAGCAUAGGUCUUGGUAUAUAAAUAACCUGAUUAAUAGAAUUUUGUGUUUUUUUUUAAUUAUGUUAUUAUGUUGCCCAGUUAUACAUACAACACAACUUAUGCUUUGUAUAAUAAAUGUGCUGUAAAUUUAUGAUCAAAGUACUUCCUAGGUACAACAGGUUCAACUUUGUAGUUCCUUAUUCAAAACCAGGGAAGGUCAUAAGUCUUGUGUACAAAGUAAUCAUUGUACAUUAAGAUAUUGCAAACUUAAGUUGGGUUUGAUAGACAUUGUUUUUUUUUAGUCAAAAGAUAUAAAAAACAAGUCAAACUUUCUGUGAUUUUUAGCUGAAAAAAAUCAACACUUACUAGGUUAUUUAUGAACUUGAUACAUAGUUUCGUUAAUUUUAAGACAAGCAGUUUUAGUAGUUGCUGAUUGAAUUUCAUGUUUUUACUGUAGUAUUGAAUGAGUUUUUUUUUUUUAGUUUAGUGUAUUAGAAAUGUGAAUUUGAAUCAUCUUAUCUGUAUAUAUUUGACAGAUUUCUUCAGUUUGGUUUUUUCACCUUAGAUGGAAGUUAAUUUUAAGAGCUUUACUAUUGUUAAGUGUCUGCUUACUCCACCUCAUUAUAGUUAUUCAGGGUCAAAAAGAAUUAUCCACUAAGGUUUAAAUUUUUUUUAUGUUGUUCCGAUUUAAAAUGUUUCACUUUAAGUAUAAAAGUGUCCAAAAUUUUUAUGGAAUUUCCUAGUUCUUUUCACUAUAUAAUAUUUUCAGUUUGGUUAAUAGCAGCACUCAGAAAAAUACAGAGUUAAGGAAAUGAAAACUAUGUUUGUGUCACUUUAUCUUAGAAAGCAAAGGAAGAAAUAGAAAACAGUUAGGCCAAUGAAUCUAGUCGGGAUGGAAUAUUUAUAAUAAUUUUUAUUGUGAGAUAUUUUUACAGUAUGCAAGACAAAGAGGUAAAUGUACUUCUUAAUGAAUAAGUAUGAUACAUUAAAUCUUAGUUUUACCUCACUUUUAUGAGUUUAGUUUUAUACAUGUACUUAAACAAUGUGCUAUCAGAGUCAUCAAGAACUUUAAUUAAUCUGUUUAAGAAGAUGAGAUGUAUCUUUAAGUGGAUGUCAUUUAGACUUGGUGAGUCAAGUUUAAAAGGGGAAUAUUGCAGGAAGUUUCCCGCAAUGCCUCAAAUGAACAAUAUUUUUUUUAGACUUGUAGUAAUUUGUUUAAGUUAAAGGUCACUAAGACCUACUUUCUGUGAUUUACAGAGUUUAGAUUUCUUUCCCUUCUCUUUCACAAUUUGAAAAAUAUUUGUAUUUGGGUGAUGUUUAUGCAGACUUGUAUGUAAUUAGUUUCUGUUAAUCAGACAGAAUGUAAACUUUUCAAUACAUUUUUUUAUGUAAUUUAGGCAGAUUAAGAAGAUAUGUUUAUUUGAAGUGUUAAUUGGUUAGGUGUUUCGGGCAAAAAAUGCUUGUAUCUUUAGAAGUACAGUUACAAAUAACAGAAUUUAUUUCUGGUCAUUGCAUUAGUUUCAAAUUGUUAUAAAUUUCAUCAAUUACAUUUUUCAUGUGCUGUUUAUUGCAAAGCUUCUCAGUGCCAUUCAUCUGACUGCAACUUAGAAAUAUGCCUAAUUUUAUAUCAUUUGUGCUGAGUUUUAUUUUUCAUUGCACCUUAAUAAAAUAGUAAACAAAAUAUUGGCAUUAAAGAAACUUAAAGUAAUAUUUUUCCAUCAAAAGAACCAAAAAAGAUUGAUUUCUGUAACAAAAUGUAAAAAAAGAUAAUUGUGUUAAAAAAUCUUGAAGAAUAUUCUGUAUGAAAAGUGUUCCAAGAUAUACUACUUUGUGUUAUAAAUACAUACCUUUAUCUACAUGAUACAUACUUAACUACAUGUAAAACAUAUAAUACACUAUUUCAGAUUUAUCCUGUUUUUGAAUUUUUUUUCUAAGCUCUUCAAGUAUCUCAAAUUCAAAUAAUUAAUUGUCAUGCUAUCAUAUAUUACUUUUUGCAUUAUUUGUAUUAUUUGCAUUAUUAAUUCAAUGAAAGCUACAAUUUAAAAACCUCGCAUGUUGUGUAAGUUAUGGAGAAAGUAAUUAGUCUCAUAGACUAGUGAAGUGGUAAAUUUUUUAUUUCCUUCUGAAACAGUAAGAUGUCUGAAAGGUAGAAAAUUUUAUAGACUGUUGUGAUACAAGUUUCCAAAAGGUAAUAAAUCCUAUGUUGCCGUUUUAAAUUGUAAAAUUUCCAAUAUGCAGUAAAUAUUAUAUUCUUUUGUUAAAUUGGUUUCAGCUGGUUGUAAAUUUUAGACCUUUGUCAAAUAGGGAGGUUUCCUAGCAUGUAGUAAAUUCUAUAGCCUCUUGUGAACUAGAUUUUCAACAUGUAAAUCUUAUAUCUGCAAGGGAAAUAAAUACAUUUCCAUAUGUAGUAGAUAUUAUAUUCCUUUGUGAAAUUUUAAGACUUCCAAGAGGUAGUAAAUCUUGUAGCCCAUUGUGAAAUAGCAAGAACUCCACCAAGAAGAUAAAUGUAUGGUCACUUCUACAUUAAGUUCCCAAAAAGUAGUAAAAUUUAAUGGUCUCUUGUGAAUUAGCUACGAAACUAGUAGUAACCAUUAGCAAGUACUGAGGUACUAAACAUGUUGUAUAUCUCGUGGUCCUUUGUGAAAUAGGCUUUGUAACAUAUAGUAAAUUGUAUGGUAUCAUAUGAAAUAGGUUUCUUACAUGUAAGUCUUAUAUAUCCCUGUGCUUAAUAAUAUGUUUUUUAAAUUGUAAGUUACAUAAUCUCUUGUGAAAUAGUAUGGCUUUUAGUAGGUAGUCAUUCUACAGUCCCUCAUAAAAUAUUAAGGAUUCCAACACUUAGAAAAUCUUAUGGUUCUUUGUGAAAUAAUAAGAUUUCCCUCGGAUAGUAAAUUCCUAUAUGAUAUGUAACCUCCAGUCACAUAUAGUACUCUUAUUCAGUACUGUCUUCUAUAUGCAAACAUUUUUGCUUGCCACUAACCUUGAAGCUCUCACCUUGUGUAUCCAUGUGAUAUUGCUGUGUUGUUGCAUGCAAAUGAGCCUGUGACAACCCUCCAUUAAUAGUAAUGUGACACACCCUCCUAGUGCAGCUAACUCCCUCUAUACUGAUUGUUCAAUCACCACUUCUCAAUUUGGCACCUGUGACUUAAGAUGUAUUUUUUUUUUUUUAGCUAAUGAGGUUUCUUAAGUUAGGAGUUUUUUUUCUUGUGUAACUAUCACAGACCAAAACUUUUUUGUGGAAAGUUUACUCUUGAAAUUUAUUUUCUAGCUUCAUAUUUAAAUAAUUCUGUACCUGCAGAUUUUGUAGGUUUUUUCUUUCCACAUUAUGAAUUCUCAGGUUACUGUCGCUUCCACUUUGUCUGGUGUGGGACGGCAAGAAGUUAUUCAUGCUAGACAGACGACAAUUAUGGCAUCAGGCUUCUCUUUGUCUGUUGAGGAAGUGAUGGCCGUUGUGCAAUGGGAGCUGGAGUUUUUCAUGCAGCCUGGACCUUCUUCUGAUCUUAAAAUGAAUAUUCUUCUACUUGUGGAUCCAUUUCACGAAGACAAAGUUUUGAAAGCCUUUUUCCACCUCCUGUUUUUGCCACUACUGUCACUGAUCUCACAAGACCUUUGAUUUUUUUUCCAUUUCCUGUGUUUUAUGAUUCUUUGUCUUCUCUUCUUGAUUCAACUACUUCUGCUGACAAUUAUGAGUCUCCACCUCCUGAUAUUUGGGUCCAUGCUAAACAGUUUUUAUCCCAACUUUGUUCUGGUGCCAGGAUGCCUCAUCCUUCUUGCCUAGUUGAUAUACAUUACUUUUCUUAUCAUUGGAAUGAUUUCUUUUUUCUGGACAACCAAAAUCUGGAAUCUCCUCUUAAGGCUUGGGGUUUGUAUUUCUCAGGCUCAAGUGCAUCUUUUCUUACCUAAUCUCGAAGUUAUGAUUGAAUAAUCAAUAUAGAGGGAGUCAGCUGUGCUAUGAGAGUGUCACAUUCCUAUUGGUGGAGGGCUGUCACAUGCUUAAAAAUUUAAGUCACAGUAGGGGGGAAUAUUGCAGGAAGUUUCCCACAAUGCCUCAAAUGAACAGUAUCAGUGCAGCAAUAUCAUCUGGACACACGUGAGUUUAGAUGAGUCUCAAGGCUAAUAGCAAACAAACAAAUUUGCAUAUAGAGUGCAGUAUUGAAUCGGGAAGUGAGGGGAGAUAAGUAUCUAUCAGAAAUAAAUUUUUUAGGGUUGAAAACGUUAACUUUCAUUGUUUUUGUGUGAAACAUUAAACUCUGCAACAAGUAGGAAAUCUUAUGGUAUCGUGUGAAAUAGUAAGGUUUUUCAAACAGUUUGAAAUCUAUUGUUCCAUUUUGAAAUAGUAAGGUUUUUGACUGGUUCUAAAUCUUCCAUUCCCUUAUGAAAUAAAAAGAUUUUUGACUAGUUUUAAAUCUUCUGUUUCUUGUGAGAUAGUAAGAUUCUUAAAUGACUCUAGAUGUUUUAAUCACUUGUGUGUGUGUUGUUAAGAUUUCCUACAAGUAAUGUAUU